AGUGAACGCUGGCGGCGUGCCUAAUACAUGCAAGUCGAACGGAGUGGCGCACGGGUGAGUAAUAUAUAGCUAAUCUGCCCCUUGCUGGAGGACAACAGUUAGAAAUGACUGCUAAUACUCCAUAGCAAGGGAUGAGACUAUAUCGUAUCAGCUAGUCGGUGGGGUAACGGCCUACCGAGGCUAUGACGCGUAACUGGCCUGAGAGGAUGAUCAGUAACAUUGGAACGGAGACACGGUCCAAACUCCUGCGGGAAGCGGCAGUAGGGAAUAUUGCGCAAUGGGGGGAACCCUGACGCGGCAACGCGGCGUGAAGGAUGACACUGUAAGAAGAGUAAACUCCUUUUGUUAGGGAGGCGGUACCUAACGAGUAAGCACCGGCUAACUCCGUGCCAGCAGCCGCGGUAAUUC
rnacentral:rRNA from 1 species